rnacentral:rRNA from 1 species
AGUGAACGCUGGCGGUAGGCCUAACACAUGCAAGUCGAACGGCAGCACAGUAAGAGCUUGCUCUUACGGGUGGCGAGUGGCGGACGGGUGAGGAAUACAUCGGAAUCUACUUUUUCGUGGGGGAUAACGUAGGGAAACUUACGCUAAUACCGCAUACGACCUACGGGUGAAAGCAGGGGAUCUUCGGACCUUGCGCGAUUGAAUGAGCCGAUGUCGGAUUAGCUAGUUGGCGGGGUAAAGGCCCACCAAGGCGACGAUCCGUAGCUGGUCUGAGAGGAUGUACACCCACACGGAAACUGAGACACGGCCCAAACUCCUACGGGAGGCAGCAGGGGGAAAUAUUGGCCAAGGGGCGCAAGCCUGACCCAGCCAUACGGCGUGGUUGAAGAAGGCCUCCGGUUGGUAAAGCCCUUUUGUUGGAAAAAAAAGGAGGCAGGUUAAUACCCCGCGGUUCGAAGGGUACCCAAAGAGAAAGCACCGGCUAACUUCUU